UAGGUAGAAGCUUAUGCCAGAUAACUUA
rnacentral:piRNA from 1 species